rnacentral:rRNA from 1 species
AACGAACGCUGGCGGCAUGCCUAACACAUGCAAGUCGAACGAGACCUUCGGGUCUAGUGGCGAACGGGUGCGUAACGCGUGGGAACCUGCCCUUAGGUUCGGAAUAACUCCCCGAAAGGGGUGCUAAUACCGGAUAAUGUCUUCGGACCAAAGAUUUAUCGCCUUUGGAUGGGCCCGCGUUGGAUUAGCUAGUUGGUAGGGUAAAAGCCUACCAAGGCGACGAUCCAUAGCUGGUCUGAGAGGAUGAUCAGCCACACUGGGACUGAGACACGGCCCAGACUCCUACGGGAAGCAGCAGUGGGGAAUAUUGGACAAUGGGCGAAAGCCUGAUCCAGCAAUGCCGCGUGAGUGAUGAAGGCCUUAGGGUUGUAAAGCUCUUUUACCCGGGAUGAUAAUGACAGUACCGGGAGAAUAAGCUCCGGCUAACUCCGUG